rnacentral:rRNA from 1 species
CCUACGGGAGGCUGCAAUUAGGAAUCUUGCGCAAUGGGCGAAAGCCUGACGCAGCGACGCCGCGUGAGGGAGGAAGGCCUUCGGGUUGUAAACCUCUUUUAUCCGGGAAGAAGAAAGUGACGGUACCGGAUGAAUAAGCCACGGCUAACUCCGUGCCAGCAGCCGCGGUAAUACGGAGGUGGCGAGCGUUGUCCGAAGUUACUGGGCGUAAAGCGCGCGUAGGCGGGCUGUUAAGUGAGGGGUGAAAGGCCGAGGCUCAACCUCGUGUUCGUCCUCUCAUACUGGCAGUCUUGAGUGAGGCAGGGAGAAGUGGAAUGGCUGGUGUAGCGGUGAAAUGCGUAGAUAUCAGUCGGAACACCGGUGGCGAAGGCGGCUUCUUGGGCCUUAACUGACGCUGAGGCGCGAAAGCUGGGGGAGCGAACGGGAUUAGAUACCCGUGU